AAAAGUGACCUCAACCUCAAUGAGACUUGAACUUGGAAUGUAAAGGAGUGGAACAAAAUGCUGCAAAUUAUUUCUUCUGCAGUUUUAACGAUUCUGCCAAUCUACAAUGAAUAUUGAACAGGCAGGAAGGAUGUCGUUGAUUAGAUUGACCCCCAGUAUUUGACUGCAGGGUUGGACAAAUGCAACAAUGAACUCAUGGACAAAUAAAUAUUACAAGAGUUGAAACUGUAGAAAGAAGAACAUGCAAUAAGAAGGGGCGUGUUUCAUCUGGGCUUGUAAUUAGCCUGAAGCCAACGAAGAAUCUCUUCCAAUCCUUUACCAUUCCAGGCACUUAUUUCAUGGACUGUAAUAUUUUGGGUGGAAUACUGAAUUAUUUCUUCCAAGCGAAGGUAGUUUUCAAAUUCUGGUCUUGACAUUAUAGUAGCCAUGUCUCUAUAAAAAAAGAGAAGUAAAGGUAUUUAAUAUCAA